UUCCCUUGAUCAUCGUUCCCUAGUUCCCUUGAUCAUCGUUCCCUAGUUACAAUUCCUAAUAUACAUGUUCCCUUGAAGGCUGUGUAAUCCCCUUGCCUGCACAUUAAUUACCUUGCUCUCUAGUUCCCUAGUCUCCUUGUUACCUAGUUCCCUUGGUCACUGUUCCCUAGGUCCUAGUCAUAGUUCCUAUUUCCCUGACACCCCAGGCUCCUAGUUUCCCUGCUCCUCAGUCCCUAGUUUCCUUGUAGUCCCCUAGUGACAAUUCCUAAUCCCCACGUGCCAUCGUGCACGCUGAAGUUGCUAGUGCACUCGGAAGAACCGAGAAUGCGAUUUGAGACACAGCGUCCGAUUAAAGCAGAUUGGAUUUAGAGCUGCGAGUCUAUGUUCUCCAGUGACUCGGCCUUCAGGAGCCACAAUAAUCCACGAACAGAUAUCAGCAGCUCCUGACAGAACAUUCCACAGAUAAAACACACACACACACACACACACACGAGAGACACAUUCCUGACGCCGACACAUUCCAUCAUUCCUCGCUAAGAGUGUGUUAUGAGAAGGUUUGUGUCAAUAUUACAUUUUUAUAUCGUGACCAUCACCUGACGUUGUACUGCACUUUACGAUACUCUCGCAAAACCGCCAACAAGAACACAUCUGUCCAAAUUAAGGACACUUUUACGAGACAGAUGUUUUAAGGCCACGUCGAGCAUGAGACAGACUUCAUCUCAAGAGAAAUGUUCCCUAAGUAGGCAGCCUCCUCACAAAUGGAACACUGACAGUGUUAUUACGUGUCCGUGAUGACGGUAUUGUGUGUGUUGAAUAUCAUGAUACAUCAUGAAACCGAUUAAACCAAGAGUGUCCCGUAACCAGGGCAACACACACACACACAGACACACACACACACCCUUUAUCUGUGUGUCUCUCUCCUCAGUUCUAAUCCCUGUCUCCUCCUGUCUGUCUGACACAAGGCUGCAAAUGCAAACCAGACCCACACCCACACCCCUUUACCGCAUGGCUGUCUGCAAUCCCGAGACAUGCGUGUCUGUAUAAUUCUAAACACAGGUAACACACACUCAUCACAAACAGUGUGUAUUUAAAGGUGUCUGUGUGGGUGUCACAUAUAUAUAGCUAUAAAAACUGUGCGGCAUGUGUGUGUGUGUGUGUGUGUGCUACCGGUGUUCAAAUUUAAACAGACGUUCAUGUCUCAGGAGUGCAGACAGUCAUGCAGUAAAGGAGUGUGUGUGUGUGUGUGUGUGUGUGUGUGUGUGUGUGUGUGUGUGUGAGAUCAAUCAGCUCAGCGAUGAGUCAAAUAUAAAACAGUCCUCAAAAAGGCUUCAUGCUGUUACACACUCUGAGAGAGCAGGUUUAAGUUCUUUGUGCUUGGAGUCGUCUCAUAAUGUAAAGAGCUGUUGCCUGAUUGGCUACUGACCUGUCGAAUGAGCUGAACUGGGCGUGGAGUUCUUGCUUCCCCAAAAACGUUGGUGACGACAACGUGGACAGGGCCUCGGAGAUGG